rnacentral:lncRNA from 1 species
AAAAAAUCGAUCAUAUCGUGAUAACGAUUUUAUUGGAAUAUGUUUUUGUUUCGGUAGACAUGUCUAACAUUUGGUGCUUUCAUAAGAUAAACACUGGCAAUGUUUUGAAUUUGACAUAGGUAACAAUUUAUUUUAAAAUAAACCAUUUAUCCGCUAUUUCUUUUACUUUAAAAAAAAAUCAUAACUAAAAAACAGGCAAAGGAUACCCAGAGGACAUAAAAACCCACAAGUCGAAAAUAAACUGACUAAGCCAUGGCUAAAAAAAGAAAAAAAAAAACACUCUGAAAACAGUAAACAUUACAGAAGAAUAAAAAAACGUAGACAAUUUCAUCUAACCUUUACAACAUACCC